CCGAGGGCGGGACUGGAACCCUCCGCUCUCAGGAGGCGCGGUCCGGGCGCCAAAAGGUGCAGCUCUGUCAUUUCCACUCUGCUCUGCUGCACAGCAGGCAGAAGCCCUGGCCGUCCCCUGCUGUGUUCUUCAGGAGAAACGUCAGGGGCCUUCCUCCAAGGUUCUCCAGCCCCACACCCCUGUGGAGGAAGGUGCUCUCCACCGCGGUAGUGGGGGCGCCCCUGCUCCUCGGAGCCCGCUAUGUCAUGGCAGAGGCACGGGAGAAGAGGAGGAUGCGGCUCGUGGUGGAUGGCAUGGGGCGCUUUGGCAGGUCUCUGAAGGUCGGCCUGCAGAUCUCCCUGGACUACUGGUGGUGCACCAAUGUUGUCCUUCGAGGGGUGGAAGAGCCCAGGCUACUUGGAGGUGAUGUCUGCGUGUCACCAGCGGGCGGCUGAUGCCCUGGUGGCAGGGGCCAUCAGCAACGGGGGCCUCUACGUGAAGCUGGGCCAGGGGCUGUGCUCCUUCAACCACCUGCUUCCCCCCGAGUAUACCCGGACCCUGCGCGUGCUAGAGGACAGGGCCCUCAAGCGGGGCUUCCAGGAGGUGGAUGAGUUGUUCCUUGAGGACUUCCAGGCCCUCCCCCACGAGCUCUUCCAGGAGUUUGACUACCAGCCAAUUGCUGCCGCCAGCCUGGCACAGGUGCACAGAGCCAAGCUGCACGAUGGCACCAGCGUGGCUGUGAAGGUGCAGUACAUCGACCUGCGGGACCGCUUUGAUGGGGACAUCCACACCCUGGAGCUCCUGCUGCGGCUCGUUGAGGUCAUGCACCCCAGCUUUGGCUUCAGCUGGGUCCUCCAGGACCUGAAGGGGACCCUGGCCCAGGAGCUGGACUUCGAGAAUGAGGGCCGCAACGCAGAGCGCUGUGCGCGGGAGCUGGCGCACUUCCCCUACGUCGUGGUGCCCCGCGUGCACUGGGACAAGUCCAGCAA
rnacentral:misc_RNA from 1 species